rnacentral:misc_RNA from 1 species
GAGGACUACGCGGGUUUCUAAUCCUGUUCGCUCCCCAUGCUUUCGCUCCUCAGCGUCAGUUACAGCCCAGAGACCUGCCUUCGCCAUCGGUGUUCCUCCUGAUAUCUGCGCAUUUCACCGCUACACCAGGAAUUCCAGUCUCCCCUACUGCACUCCAGCCUGCCCGUACCCACUGCAGACCCGGGGUUGAGCCCCGGGCUUUCACAGCAGACGCGACAAACCGCCUACGAGCUCUUUACGCCCAAUAAUUCCGGAUAACGCUCGCGCCCUACGUAUUACCGCGGCGGCUGACAC